rnacentral:rRNA from 3 species
UUAAGCGACUAAGCGUACACGGUGGAUGCCCUGGCAGUCAGAGGCGAUGAAGGACGUGCUAAUCUGCGAUAAGCGUCGGUGAGGUGAUAUGAACCGUUAUAACCGGCGAUUUCCGAAUGGGGAAACCCAGUGUGUUUCGACACACUAUCAUUAACUGAAUCCAUAGGUUAAUGAGGCGAACCGGGGGAACUGAAACAUCUAAGUACCCCGAGGAAAAGAAAUCAACCGAGAUUCCCCCAGUAGCGGCGAGCGAACGGGGAGGAGCCCAGAGCCUGAAUCAGUGUGUGUGUUAGUGGAAGCGUCUGGAAAGGCGUGCGAUACAGGGUGACAGCCCCGUACACAAAAAUGCACAUAUUGUGAGCUCGAUGAGUAGGGCGGGACACGUGGUAUCCUGUCUGAAUAUGGGGGGACCAUCCUCCAAGGCUAAAUACUCCUGACUGACCGAUAGUGAACCAGUACCGUGAGGGAAAGGCGAAAAGAACCCCGGCGAGGGGAGUGAAAAAGAACCUGAAACCGUGUACGUACAAGCAGUGGGAGCCUCUUAAUGGGGUGACUGCGUACCUUUUGUAUAAUGGGUCAGCGACUUAUAUUCUGUAGCAAGGUUAACCGAAUAGGGGAGCCGAAGGGAAACCGAGUCUUAACUGGGCGUUAAGUUGCAGGGUAUAGACCCGAAACCCGGUGAUCUAGCCAUGGGCAGGUUGAAGGUUGGGUAACACUAACUGGAGGACCGAACCGACUAAUGUUGAAAAAUUAGCGGAUGACUUGUGGCUGGGGGUGAAAGGCCAAUCAAACCGGGAGAUAGCUGGUUCUCCCCGAAAGCUAUUUAGGUAGCGCCUCGUGAAUUCAUCUCCGGGGGUAGAGCACUGUUUCGGCAAGGGGGUCAUCCCGACUUACCAACCCGAUGCAAACUGCGAAUACCGGAGAAUGUUAUCACGGGAGACACACGGCGGGUGCUAACGUCCGUCGUGAAGAGGGAAACAACCCAGACCGCCAGCUAAGGUCCCAAAGUCAUGGUUAAGUGGGAAACGAUGUGGGAAGGCCCAGACAGCCAGGAUGUUGGCUUAGAAGCAGCCAUCAUUUAAAGAAAGCGUAAUAGCUCACUGGUCGAGUCGGCCUGCGCGGAAGAUGUAACGGGGCUAAACCAUGCACCGAAGCUGCGGCAGCGACACUAUGUGUUGUUGGGUAGGGGAGCGUUCUGUAAGCCUGUGAAGGUGGCCUGUGAGGGUUGCUGGAGGUAUCAGAAGUGCGAAUGCUGACAUAAGUAACGAUAAAGCGGGUGAAAAGCCCGCUCGCCGGAAGACCAAGGGUUCCUGUCCAACGUUAAUCGGGGCAGGGUGAGUCGACCCCUAAGGCGAGGCCGAAAGGCGUAGUCGAUGGGAAACAGGUUAAUAUUCCUGUACUUGGUGUUACUGCGAAGGGGGGACGGAGAAGGCUAUGUUGGCCGGGCGACGGUUGUCCCGGUUUAAGCGUGUAGGCUGGUUUUCCAGGCAAAUCCGGAAAACCAAGGCUGAGGCGUGAUGACGAGGCACUACGGUGCUGAAGCGACAAAUGCCCUGCUUCCAGGAAAAGCCUCUAAGCAUCAGGUAACAUCAAAUCGUACCCAAAACCGACACAGGUGGUCAGGUAGAGAAUACCAAGGCGCUUGAGAGAACUCGGGUGAAGGAACUAGGCAAAAUGGUGCCGUAACUUCGGGAGAAGGCACGCUGAUAUGUAGGUGAAGCGACUUGCUCGUGGAGCUGAAAUCAGUCGAAGAUACCAGCUGGCUGCAACUGUUUAUUAAAAACACAGCACUGUGCAAACACGAAAGUGGACGUAUACGGUGUGACGCCUGCCCGGUGCCGGAAGGUUAAUUGAUGGGGUUAGCGGCAACGCGAAGCUCUUGAUCGAAGCCCCGGUAAACGGCGGCCGUAACUAUAACGGUCCUAAGGUAGCGAAAUUCCUUGUCGGGUAAGUUCCGACCUGCACGAAUGGCGUAAUGAUGGCCAGGCUGUCUCCACCCGAGACUCAGUGAAAUUGAACUCGCUGUGAAGAUGCAGUGUACCCGCGGCAAGACGGAAAGACCCCGUGAACCUUUACUAUAGCUUGACACUGAACAUUGAGCCUUGAUGUGUAGGAUAGGUGGGAGGCUUUGAAGUGUGGACGCCAGUCUGCAUGGAGCCGACCUUGAAAUACCACCCUUUAAUGUUUGAUGUUCUAACGUUGGCCCGUAAUCCGGGUUGCGGACAGUGUCUGGUGGGUAGUUUGACUGGGGCGGUCUCCUCCUAAAGAGUAACGGAGGAGCACGAAGGUUGGCUAAUCCUGGUCGGACAUCAGGAGGUUAGUGCAAUGGCAUAAGCCAGCUUGACUGCGAGCGUGACGGCGCGAGCAGGUGCGAAAGCAGGUCAUAGUGAUCCGGUGGUUCUGAAUGGAAGGGCCAUCGCUCAACGGAUAAAAGGUACUCCGGGGAUAACAGGCUGAUACCGCCCAAGAGUUCAUAUCGACGGCGGUGUUUGGCACCUCGAUGUCGGCUCAUCACAUCCUGGGGCUGAAGUAGGUCCCAAGGGUAUGGCUGUUCGCCAUUUAAAGUGGUACGCGAGCUGGGUUUAGAACGUCGUGAGACAGUUCGGUCCCUAUCUGCCGUGGGCGCUGGAGAACUGAGGGGGGCUGCUCCUAGUACGAGAGGACCGGAGUGGACGCAUCACUGGUGUUCGGGUUGUCAUGCCAAUGGCACUGCCCGGUAGCUAAAUGCGGAAGAGAUAAGUGCUGAAAGCAUCUAAGCACGAAACUUGCCCCGAGAUGAGUUCUCCCUGACUCCUUGAGAGUCCUGAAGGAACGUUGAAGACGACGACGUUGAUAGGCCGGGUGUGUAAGCGCAGCGAUGCGUUGAGCUAACCGGUACUAAUGAACCGUGAGGCUUAACCUU